UACACCAUACUUUUAAGUGAUUUAUAAGACUCAUUAGUCUUUUCGUCUGUGCUAUCUUCUGCAGAAAAAUAUAAAUCCAUUGAUCUGUACGAGCUACCGUUAGAAGUUUUCAGUCCCAUUCAUUGGGUGAGAAAAUUUUGGAAGUUAAGGGGCCCGUUGUCAAUUGGGUGGAAAAGAAUUGUUAAAACUUGCGGUUGUUUUCAGGGAGAGGAGGCCUUAUCUCGCUUCUGCGGGGAAAAGGGAAUAGGUCGAGUUGCAAGUUAAUUGAUAGAGUAAUUGAUAAAGAAUAAAGAAUGGACUACUAUUAAUACUGUGAACGGCAUGGUCCAAACCAGAGGUUGUCAUUAGCUUGUGUGGCCCCGUGUCCCGAACAUCCUCCCCAUUGUUUAAGUAGAGACA
rnacentral:lncRNA from 1 species